rnacentral:rRNA from 1 species
CCUACGGGAGGCUGCAGUGAGGAAUAUUGGUCAAUGGACGGAAGUCUGAACCAGCCAUGCCGCGUGCAGGAAGACGGCUCUAUGAGUUGUAAACUGCUUUUGUACAAGGGUAAACCUGAAUACGUGUAUUCAGCUGAAAGUACUGUACGAAUAAGGAUCGGCUAACUCCGUGCCAGCAGCCGCGGUAAUACGGAGGAUCCAAGCGUUAUCCGGAUUUAUUGGGUUUAAAGGGUGCGUAGGCGGAUUUAUAAGUUAGAGGUGAAAUGUCCGAGCUUAACUCGGGAACUGCCUCUAAUACUGUUGAUCUAGAGAGUAGAUGCGGUAGGCGGAAUGUAUGGUGUAGCUGUGAAAUGCUUAGAGAUCAUACAGAACACCGAUUGCGAAGGCAGCUUACCAAUCUAUAUCUGACGUUGAGGCACGAAAGCGUGGGGAGCAAACAGGAUUAGAUACCCCUGUAGUC